rnacentral:rRNA from 1 species
UACGUAGGGCGCAAGCGUUGUCCGGAAUUAUUGGGCGUAAAGAGCUCGUAGGCGGCUUGUCACGUCGGGUGUGAAAGCCCGGGGCUUAACCCCGGGUCUGCAUUCGAUACGGGCUAGCUAGAGUGUGGUAGGGGAGAUCGGAAUUCCUGGUGUAGCGGUGAAAUGCGCAGAUAUCAAGAGGAACACCUGCGGCGAAGGCGGGUUGCUGGGCCGACACUGACACUGAGGCUCGAAAGUGUGGGGAUCAAACAGG